CCCGGACAGAAUCUCAUCUGUCAUUGAUUUCUUUCAUCCAGCUGGAUUUAUAAUGAUGACAUACGUAUAAAAAUAGAUCCUUGUGAAGCUGUUUUAGAGGCGACGAACACUAAGUGGCUGUGCGAACAUAAUAACAUUGGAACAUCAUUAUAGAGCAUCGAAGUGAAUUUUGCAUCAGACUUGAACCCUCCUCAUUCAUUGAACGUGAACAUGGCUCAUUCGUUGAACAAUCAAGCUGGCCCGGUUCUGCAAGGACCCUAGAGCAUCUCCUAGUGCCGCACGGCAGGCUGCCAGCUCGUAGGACUGCUAGUUGUCUGGUUGGAAGACAAGCUGGCUCAUGUAUGUCAUUUUCAAGAACCCUACAAAAUUGGUUUAAUAAAACAACAUACAAUACAUAUUUUUAUAUAAGAUGGUCAUGUAAAACGUUUUUCGAUUACACAAGCACUCAUGUUGUGCUCUGUUGACCUCAAGCAGUGUGGCACCUAAAGUCCAGAGCCCCUGCUUUGCUAGUCCCCACCGCAUCAAGUGGCGUGACACAUGCUGGUCCUAGACACGUAGGUAGAUAAACUCCCUCCUGGUUGAGCAAUAAAAUGCUAGCCCACUGCCAAUAAAAUGUACUAAACAUUAAGUAGAGUUCUUACCGAGUGUUCAUUAGGACCACAUGUCGGUAUGGCGUGGUACGGUCGUCUGACCUGUGUAACAUUAUUUUGCUGACAUGCAUCACUGUGCCAAUGACAUCUGGGAAAAAAUGAUGUGAAUUUGUUAAGAAAGUCUGGCUCAACUACAUGUCAGCAAAAUUCAUUGUGAAAUGAUAUAAUGCACUUGCAAGCAUCCUGUUUCUGAGGCUGUAUACAUCUAUAAAAUCAAUGAAUCGUGGCAGCAACGAAGGGGUGUUAAUGCUGGCCCUGGCAAGAAGUAUUUCAGUGCGCGAGUGGAGGACGAUGUAAAAGUCACAUGGCACCGGCAAUGCAACUGGCAGAUGCAUAGCUGCUGGUUCAAAACCAAGUUUUUUGAAUAAGUAUACUGAGCCGGCACGUAGGUUAUCGCUGAAGCGAUAUGCGAUCGGUUGAAAUGGAUCAAAUGCAAUUGCAUCCAUUUUGACCCCCUGGAAAUUUAUUGCAUACAUGAGCAGCAUGUUGAAUAUAUUAUCAGCAGAUCACUUGAUAGCAUAUCUUCUUUGAAUACUUACGGUUUGGUUGAUGAGGAUGGCGUGAAAGAUGGCUGCUCCACUCCGGGUAUGUUUGAUGCGAGCAUACAAAACCUUUGCCGUUGCGUCCCAACCUCUACUGUAUAUAUGAAUGGAUAAAAUGUUGCCUGGCGAUCGGCGGUGGAGGGCCAAUGGGAGCGGGAACGAAGUUCACAGGCGGUGGUGCCAUGACCCUCUUCGAGCCAGGAUGGCCCAUCCUGGGUCCCAUCACCAUGAGCGCCAAGACCAUAUUUCUCUUCAACACGACUCAUGGUUCAGAACGCAGAAUGAUUUUUAUAGUGGUAUAUGGCGGGAAAUAGAAGCGCUGGAAUUUUGUAUUGGCAUGGUAUACAGACGUAUAUUGACUGAUCUGACUAUUUUCAUUUUCAUUGGCGCGAAGUAAACCAUGGUGAUAGAAAAAAGGAAGUGAUUGAAAGAAGGAAGGAGAUUGAUCACCGUUUGAUUGAAAGAAGGAAGGAGAUUGAUCACCGUCAUGACUGAAUUGAUUGCCAUGCAUGAAUUGAUUGCGUUUGGAUUGAUUGUUGAUUGAUUGCGCUUGGUUGC